CACUUGCUAAAGGAGGCAAUGGAACAGCUGAGCUGCGUGGUGCCCUGAGAGCAGUGAAGGUUGCAGGCACACACAGUAGGAAUUCACAAACAUUUCUAGAAUGGGCGGUCACACACAAGGCUUCUGUUCGGAUGUUCGGUGGCUCAGAGCAGGUACUAUAGGCUGUUCAGGGCGUCGAAUGCAUACAUGUGUGUAAGAGUAGGCGUGUGCACGCGUGUGCAGGGGGGCAGGUCUGAGUGAGACAAGGCUUCUUGGGUGAAGGGCUGGCCUCAUGGGUCUGGGCACUUGAGAAAGGCUGGCGCGCUCACCUUUCCCCCAGGAGCUGGGAGAUUACAUCUGGCCCUGAGUCACUGCUCCCUGGAGGAAGUUAAUUAAUGCCUAAAUAUUUACUGAGUGUCUGCGGGGACAGUGUGGAGCAGGGCACAGAACCUAUCAGGACCUGGGCUCCUGUCAAUUUCUAGGUGGUGUCAGCCUCACCUUGGAGUCGUGAACACCUUGAAGAGGCUACGCACGCUGGUGGCACCUUUUGGUCACCCAGCUCAGUGGUGGGAGAGAUAUGUCCAGAACCCUGCUCUGGAAUCGCUGCAAAUGGAUCGGGGACAAGAUGUGAUCCUGCCCUCAGGAGGCCACGAUUCAGAGGGAAGCAGACAGAUAAGCAGACAGGAUGAUACCGAGCUACGAGGAGGCCGAGGCCCAGAGAGGUGAACUGACUGGAAUCUAGGCUGAUUUGUCUCUUUGAACCCUGACACCGGGGGAAGCAGAUGGCAGGAAGAAGGCGGCUUCCAGGACGGAGAGCUGAGGCUGGUGAACAACCUCGUGAACUUGUGAAACAUUGAUGCUGUUCUUGUCCAUCUUUUCAGCCUAAUUUCCUUGGUUUUCAAGGCUCAGGGUUGGGAGGGUGGUUUGCCCCAGCACUGCUGCUGUAGGGACAGCGAUGGUCCCAGCGUGGAGCCUCAUCUCCCUUUGUGCUGCCUCCUUGUGGCAGGGGCUCUCUUCAGGGCCUGGUGUCCUCCUUGGCAGUGAGGAUGUUUUUGUCCCAUUCAUUUCUCAUUCAUUAGAAAAAGGCAUGGGAGUUCCCACUGUGGCUCAGAGGGUUAAGAACCUGACUAGUGUCCAUGAAGAUGUGGGUUGAUCCCUG